UUGAAUUUGUGUACUGUUGGUUCGCUCCUAGCAGCUUAUGAGACGUCCUAUCGGUGGAGUGUCGAGAUGGGCCGAUACGUUUACUUUGAACAAAUUAGAGUGCUUAAAGCAGGCUUUUUUUGCCUGAAUAUUGUGUGCAUGGAAUAAUAGAAUAGGACCUCGGUUCUAUUUUGUUGGUUUUCGGAACGAGGUAAUGAUUAAUAGGGACAGAUGGGGGCAUUCGUAUUGCGACGUUAGAGGUGAAAUUCUUGGAUCGUCGCAAGACGAACAGAAGCGAAAGCAUUUGCCAAAAAUGUUUUCAUUAAUCAAGAACGAAAGUUAGAGGUUCGAAGGCGAUCAGAUACCGCCCUAGUUCUAACCAUAAACGAUGCCAGCUAGCGAUCCGCCGAAGUUCCUCCGAUGACUCGGCGGGCAGCCGGGAAACCAAGCUUUUGGGUUCCGGGGGAAGUAUGGUUGCAAAGCUGAAACUUAAAGGAAUUGACGGAAGGGCACCACCAGGAGUGGAGCCUGCGGCUUAAUUUGACUCAACACGGGAAAUCUCACCAGGCCCGGACACCGGAAGGAUUGACAGAUUGAUAGCUCUUUCUU
rnacentral:rRNA from 1 species